rnacentral:misc_RNA from 1 species
GAUGAAGAACGCAGCGAAAUGCGAUAAGUAAUGUGAAUUGCAGAGUUCAGUGAAUCAUCGAAUCUUUGAACGCACAUUGCGCCCCCUGGUAUUCCGGGGGGCAUGCCUGUCCGAGCGUCAUUGCUGCCCUCAAGCACGGCUUGUGUGUUGGGCCUCCGUCCUCCUCCCGGGGGACGGGCCCGAAAGGCAGCGGCGGCACCGCGUCCGGUCCUCGAGCGUAUGGGGCUUCGUCACCCGCUCUUGUAGGCCCGGCCGGCGCUUGCCGACACAUCAAUCUUUUUUCCAGGUUGACCUCGGAUCAGGUAGGGAUACCCGCUGAACUUAAGCAUAUCAAUAAGCGGAGGA